AGAGUUUGAUCCUGGCUCAGGACGAACGCUGGCGGCGUGCCUAAUACAUGCAAGUCGAGCGGAGCUUGUUUCUCCUUCGGGAGGAACUUGCUUAGCGGCGGACGGGUGAGUAACACGUGGGCAACCUGCCUGUAAGAUCGGGAUAACUAUCGGAAACGAUAGCUAAGACCGAAUAACUGGUUUUCUCGCAUGAGGAGAUC
rnacentral:rRNA from 1 species